rnacentral:rRNA from 1 species
UACGUAGGGUGCGAGCGUUGUCCGGAAUUAUUGGGCGUAAAGAGCUCGUAGGCGGUUUGUCGCGUCGACUGUGAAAACCUACAGCUUAACUGUGGGCUUGCGGUCGAUACGGGCAUCACUGGAGUUCGGCAGGGGAGACUGGAAUUCCUGGUGUAGCGGUGAAAUGCGCAGAUAUCAGGAGGAACACCGGUGGCGAAGGCGGGUCUCUGGGCCGAUACUGACGCUGAGGAGCGAAAGCGUGGGGAGCAAACAGG